UACGUAGGUCCCGAGCGUUGUCCGGAUUUAUUGGGCGUAAAGCGAGCGCAGGUGGUUUAUUAAGUCUGGUGUAAAAGGCAGUGGCUCAACCAUUGUAUGCAUUGGAAACUGGUAGACUUGAGUGCAGGAGAGGAGAGUGGAAUUCUAUGUGUAGCGGUGAAAUGCGUAGAUAUAUGGAGGAACACCGGUGGCGAAAGCGGCUCUCUGGCCUGUAACUGACACUGAGGCUCGAAAGCGUGGGGAGCAAAUAGG
rnacentral:rRNA from 1 species